UGGGGAAUUUUGGACAAUGGCGCAAGCCUGAUCCAGCCAUGCCGCGUGAGUGAAGAAGGCCUUCGGGUUGUAAAGCUCUUUCAGUUGGGAAGAAACGAUUGCAACUAAUAAUUGUAAUUAAUGACGGUACCGACAGAAGAAGCACCGGCUAACUACGUGCCAGCAGCCGCGGUAAUACGUAGGGUGCGAGCGUUAAUCGGAAUUACUGGGCGUAAAGGGUGCGCAGGCGGUUUUGUAAGUCAGAUGUGAAAUCCCCGGGGCUUAACCUGGGAAUGGCGUUUGAAACUGCAAGGCUAGAGUGUAGCAGAGGGGAGUGGAAUUACCGCGUGUAGCAGUGAAAUGCGUAGAUAUGCGGAGGAACACCGAUGGCGAAGGCAGCGUCCCUGGGCUAACGACUGACGC
rnacentral:rRNA from 1 species